rnacentral:tRNA from 1 species
GGGGAUAUAGCUCAGUUGGUAGAGUGCUUGUCUCGCAUACACAAAGCCCUGGGUUCAAUCCCCAGUAUCACACA